UACGUAGGGCGCAAGCGUUGUCCGGAAUUAUUGGGCGUAAAGAGCUCGUAGGCGGUCUGUCACGUCGGAAGUGAAAACCCGGGGCUUAACCCCGGGCUUGCUUUCGAUACGGGCAGACUAGAGUGUGGUAGGGGAGACUGGAAUUCCUGGUGUAGCGGUGAAAUGCGCAGAUAUCAGGAGGAACACCGGUGGCGAAGGCGGGUCUCUGGGCCACUACUGACGCUGAGGAGCGAAAGCUAGGGUAGCAAACGGG
rnacentral:rRNA from 1 species